rnacentral:rRNA from 1 species
CCUACGGGUGGCAGCAGUGAGGAAUAUUGGUCAAUGGUCGGAAGACUGAACCAGCCAAGCCGCGUGAAGGACGAAGGUACCAAGUAUUGUAAACUUCUUUUGUCAGGGGACAAAAGCAGGCACGAGAGCCUGACCGAGUGUACUUGAAGAAAAAGCAUCGGCUAACUCCGUGCCAGCAGCCGCGGUAAUACGGAGGAUGCGAGCGUUAUCGGGAUUUAUUGGGGUUAAGGGAUGCGUAGGCGGGGUGUUAAGUUAGCGGUAAAAGCCGGGGGCUCAACCCCGGCGCGCCGUUGAAACGGGCAGUCUAGAGUUGGAGAGAGGUAUGCGGAAGGCGCGGUGUAGCGGUGAAAUGCAGAGAUAUCGCGCAGAACUCCGAUUGCGAAGGCAGCAUGCCGGCGGCACACUGACGCUGAGGCACGAAAGCGUGGGUAUCGAACAGGAUUAGAUACCCUGGUAGUC